GGGUUUAUGGGGUCACAGUCACUUAUGGGGUUUUAUGGGGUCCCCAUAUACAAACAAUGGGGUUUAUGGGGUCACAGUCACUUAUGGGGUUUAUGGGGUCCCCUAUACCCACAAUGGGGUUUUAUGGGGUCCCCAUAGACAAUCAAUGGGGUUUAUGGGGUUUUAUGGGGUCCCCAUAUACACACAAUGGGGGUUUAUGGGGUUUUAUGGGGUCCCCAUAGACACACAAUGGGGUUUUAUGGGGUCCCCAUAGACACACAAUAGGGUUUAUGGGGUUUCAUGGGGUCCCCAUAGACACACAAUGGGGGUUUAUGGGGUCACAGUCACUUAUGGGGUUUCUGGGUUCCCCUAUACCCACAAUGGGGUUUUAUGGGGUCCCCAUAGACAUACAAUGGGGUUUUAUGGGCUCACAAACUCUUAUGGGGUUUUAUGGGGUCCCCAUAUAAACCCAAUGGGGUUUAUGGUGUUUAUGGGGUUUUAUGGGGUCCCCCAUACCCUCAAUGGGGUUAAUGGGGUUUUAUGGGGUCCCCAUAUCCACCCAAUGGGGUUAAUGGGGUUUUAUGGGGUCCCCCAUACCCUCUAUGGGUUUAAUGGGGUUUUAUGGGGUCCCCAUAUCCACCCAAUGGGGUUAAUGGGGUUUUAUAGGGUCCCACCCCAUUCCCCCCCUUUUGGGGUCGCCCCCCCCCCAUAUUGGGGUCUCUUAUGGGGUUCACAGUUGGGGGGGGGGAGGCCGCCCCUAUGGCUUCGCUGUGGGGUCUCUGCGCCUGUGGGGAGACAAUGGACCAGUAUCAACGACCCCAUUACCCCAUAGAUCCCAUUACCCCCAUAGAUCCCAUAGGAUCCCAUUACCCCCAUAGGAUCCCAUUACCCCCAUAGGAUCCCAUUACCCCCAUAGAUCCCAUUAACCCCCAUUGGAUCCCAUUGGAUCCCAUUGCCCCCAUAGAUCCCAUUACCCCCAUUGGAUCCCAUUACCCCCAUAGGAUCCCAUUACCCCCAUUACCCCCAUA
rnacentral:lncRNA from 1 species